AAAGUGUCACCUCACACGAUUCUCAAAGGUAAAUAUCAGCUGGUAAUUCUGGGAGCUAAGCCUAAAUAUGAAACACUCGGAAUUUCAGUUGGUAUCGACUUUUUUGAAUUGCAUUUGAUCACCAUAAGC
rnacentral:pre_miRNA from 15 species